UUAGGGAUGCCAGAUUUUAUGGGUGUGAUUUAGGAUUAUAUUAUGGUGGGUUGCCUCCCUGGU
rnacentral:tRNA from 1 species